rnacentral:misc_RNA from 1 species
GUUGAGCCAGAUAGUCACAGAAGUAACCAAAAGAGUUAUGAGGAGAACCAGUAGAGUAGUUACUUAAGCUCAGGCUGAGAAGAGGUUUUUCAUCAUUUUGUCUACCUCCAGAGUUUCUUCGACGAAUCUUAGUACAGAAAAAAAAGAACAAUGCUGCGAAGGCAAAAGUCACUGCUGCAGUUACAACUACAGCAAUAACAAUUACUUUAUGGUUACUUCUGUGACUAUCUGGCUCAACAUUUGGAUCAGAAGCUGGACCUGCAGAAGCAUCUUCUGUAGCUGUAGGUGAUGAAUCACCACCUUGAGGAAAAAAUGGUUUUUGUGGAGAUGGAGUAGAAACUGGGCUGCGAAGGCAAAAGUCACUGCUGCAGU